UACGGGGGAGGAGCAGCUGUUCGUCGAUUCACUGGGUUUAAAGGGUGCGUAGGCGGACAGGUAAGUCAGUGGUGAAAUCUCUGGGCUUAACUCAGAAACUGCCGUUGAUACUAUUUGUCUUGAAUAUCUUGGAGGUAAGCGGAAUAUGUCAUGUAGCGGUGAAAUGCUUAGAUAUGACAUAGAACACCGAUAGCGAAGGCAGCUUACUACAGGAAGAUUACGCUGAGGCACGA
rnacentral:rRNA from 1 species